UGGGGAAUAUUGCACAAUGGGCGCAAGCCUGAUGCAGCCAUGCCGCGUGUGUGAAGAAGGCCUUCGGGUUGUAAAGCACUUUCAGCGGGGAGGAAGGCGUUAAGGUUAAUAACCUUGGCGAUUGACGUUACCCGCAGAAGAAGCACCGGCUAACUCCGUGCCAGCAGCCGCGGUAAUACGGAGGGUGCAAGCGUUAAUCGGUAUUACUGGGCGUAAAGCGCACGCAGGCGGUUUGUUAAGUCAGAUGUGAAAUCCCCGGGCUCAACCUGGGAACUGCAUCUGAUACUGGCAAGCUUGAGUCUCGUAGAGGGGGGUAGAAUUCCAGGUGUAGCGGUGAAAUGCGUAGAGAUCUGGAGGAAUACCGGUGGCGAAGGCGGCCCCCUGGACGAAGACUGACGCUCAGGUGCGAAAGCGUGGGGAGCAAACAGGA
rnacentral:rRNA from 1 species